UGACUUUGUAAAAUGACUUGAGAGGUGUAGAAUAAGUGGGAGUUGUUUUCAGCGGAAGUGAAAUACCACUACUUUUAAAAUUAUUUUACUUAUUUCGUGGGGUAGAGACGGGGCAUUGCACAUAUGUUAAAAUAUAAUGCACAUUUCCUCAAAGUGUUUUCAUUGAUGGAAAUGGUCA
rnacentral:ncRNA from 1 species